UGUAAGUUUGAGCGAAAAAAGUCACUCCAAGUUUUUUUUUCGGCCAAAGCAGAAGCAAAAUUCAAGUGAUAACUGUUAAGAAAAUCGAUAAGUUCGAAAUGCCUUGUUCACCGUGUAGAAUCAGCUGCCGUCGUCCAUUGAUUAAAUUUCGCUGUGCACCCCGGUGUGGACCAUGUGUCUCGCCACCGUGCGCCAUGCUGUGCCCUUGCGCUCCUUGUGUACCUUGUUCUCCCUGUGGGCCCUGCUCGACAUACACCCCGUACGGUCCUUGCUGGGGACCAAACGGACCGUGCGCCCGCAUCGAGUACUACGACCGGUAAUCAAGAUUUCAAAACCUGAAGUUCAUCAACACUUACCUCAUCAGCUCAAAGCUGAUACAGAGAUGAUUCCGAAACUCGUCUAGUAUCCUCACCUCGACCAGCGCCUGAUGGUGGAAGCGUUUCUUGUUGCGGAUGAUUUUGAUUGCGACGUGUUGAUUGGUUUUGUGGUCCAGGGCUCGAAUCACCUGCCCGAAGCUUCCCUUGCCGAUGACUUCGAGGAUUUCAUACCGGUAGCAGAUGUGAUCGUGGAUAACCUGAUCCCAGCAAAGGAAGUGAAUUAUGUUCAGUGUUGGGUAAAAUAAAUUCAUUAUGACUGUACUGUACCUUAUUGUAGCUGCCAUUGUCAUCAUCGUAACCCGAGUUGAUUGCACUGCCCGGUUUGGCAUUAACUUUGCAGGCAUCAAGUCCUAGGUAGUAAAUUUCCGGGUACUUCUCGAUUUCCUGCUUUUCGUAGUCUGUCAAU